GACGAUCUCUAGCUGUUCUGAUAGGAAGAUCAGCCACACUGGGACUGAGACACGGCCCAGACUCCUACGGGAGGCAGCAGUGGGGAAUAUUGGACAAUGGGCGCAAGCCUGAUCCAGCAAUGCCGCGUGUGUGAAGAAGGCCUUCGGGUUGUAAAGCACUUUAGGAUGGAAAGAAAAAACUUUAGUUAAUAGCUGAAGUCUUGACGGUACCAUCAGAAUAAGCACCGGCUAACUCUGUGCCAGCAGCCGCGGUAAUACAGAGGGUGCAAGCGUUAAUCGGAUUUACUGGGCGUAAAGCGUGUGUAGGUGGUGGCGUAAGUCGGUUGUGAAAUCCCCGGGCUUAACCUGGGAACUGCUUCCGAUACUGCGUCACUAGAGUACGGUAGAGGGUGGUGGAAUUUCCGGUGUAGCGGUGAAAUGCGUAGAUAUCGGAAGGAACAUCAAUGGCGAAGGCAACCACCUGGGCCUGAACUGACUCUGAGGCACGAAAGCGUGG
rnacentral:rRNA from 1 species